rnacentral:rRNA from 1 species
UCAGAGUGAACGCUGGCGGCAGGCCUAACACAUGCAAGUCGAACGGCAGCACGGCAGUAGCAAUACUGUGGGUGGCGAGUGGCGGACGGGUGAGGAAUACAUCGGGAUCUACCCUGUUGUGGGGGGAUAACGUAGGGAAACUUACGCUAAUACCGCAUAAGAACUGAGGUUGAAAGCGGCGGACCGCAAGGCGUCGCGCGAUUGGAUGAACCGAUGUCCGAUUAGCUAGUUGGCGGGGUAAAGGCCCACCAAGGCGACGAUCGGUAGCUGGUCUGAGAGGACGACCAGCCACACUGGAACUGAGACACGGUCCAGACUCCUACGGGAGGCAGCAGUGGGGAAUAUUGGACAAUGGGCGCAAGCCUGAUCCAGCCAUGCCGCGUGGGUGAAGAAGGCCUUCGGGUUGUAAAGCCCUUUAGGUGGGGAGGAAGGCAUUCAUGCUAAUACCAUGGAUGAUUGACGUUACCCACAGAAUAAGCACCGGCUAACUCCGUG